UCAACAUUUACAUGUGUUGGUAUUAGGAGAAUAAAGUGAUUCUCUACUAAACUCAACAUUCGUGUUGUUGAGAUCUUCAUAACAUAUUUCAAAAAAAAAAAAAUAAAGGAUUUGAUUUGAUAUGGCUUGAUCUCAACUCCAAUCGAGGUUAGACUUUUUUGUUUCUAAUUAUUUCCUGUACCCUUUCUCCUUUAUAUGUGUAAUAGGCCCAAUUUUCCCAGGCUCGUAUGCAUAAACCAAAUAAAAGAAUAAAUAAAGUCCAAACAACUAUAGAGUCCAUUUACAUUUAUCCAAACGCCCUAAAUUACAUCAACCCAAUAAACCUAAAACUCAGCUAACCCAAGCCCAAAACCAAUGGCAGAGGAAGGGUCGGGAAACCCUAACAGCAUAUGGCCUCCAGCAGACCCCAGCAGCUGCUUGUCUCGGAACCGACCUCCACGAUGCUCGCCGUACCCCCACGUUCACCUGCAAAACAGAUUCAAGGAGUCCAAACAUUGUAAAACAACAAAAAAAAGGGGAAAUAAGUUGUUCUAGGUCUAUAAAAAGGCCAAUCUUUUGUAUUGAAAAGGGGAGAUUUUUUUUGGUAACAAAAAAGAAUACAAAUAAAAGAAAACAGAUUCGAAAAUUUUUGGAAAACGGAGGUGAUUAUUUUUUAGUUUACUUUGUGGGUGUUCGAUUUUAUUUACUUAUUUAUUAUUUAGUUUUUUAUUUUUAUUAUUUAUUAUUUAUUAUUUUUUAUUUAAAAUAUAAAAAGGGAGAAGGAAACUUGCCUUUUUCGCCGGAGUCGUCGAAUUGAGGCCGUCUCCGCCGCAAUCGGAGCAUUGGCACAAGAUGGAACGGCGGCUCAAGGGUUAAAAGAAAAACCCUAAACUGAGCAGGGUAGUUUUUUAGGGAAAAAUUGAAAUAAAAAUGUGUU
rnacentral:lncRNA from 1 species